rnacentral:rRNA from 1 species
AUACGGAGGGUGCAAGCGUUACUCGGAAUCACUGGGCGUAAAGCGCGCGCAGGCGGCUUGAUAAGUUGGAUGUGGAAGCCUACGGCUCAACCGUAGAACUGCAUCCAAAACUGUCAGGCUAGAGUGUGGGAGAGGAAGAUGGAAUUAGUUGUGUAGGGGUAAAAUCCGUAGAGAUAACUAGGAAUACCAAAAGCGAAGGCAAUCUUCUGGAACACUACUGACGCUGAGGCGCGAAGGCGUGGGGAGCAAACAGGAUUAGAUACCCUAGUAGUCC